UUGACAGGCAGGGAGCCUUUAACUAGUAAUUCGGUUCAUAUUCGUCUGUUAUAAAGGGGGAUAAAUUAGAAACCUUUGCAACUGUAGGAUUGAGCAAUGGUUGAUCAAGUAGGCAACAAUAAGCCCAAAGGGGGGAAAAAAGGCUGUCAGGUGGUGCAAUAAAAUUACCAGAUUGAUUUCAGCAUUAUGUUAAACAUUUCAAACCACAUCUCUGGCUUAACAGGAUACAUGCAUGGCUCAUCACUAUCAGAUUCAAUGGAACAUUUGGAUUACUGAGAUUUUAACUUGCCCAUAACCCAUAUUUUGUACCUCAAUGUGGCACUCCGUUACAUAUGUGCAGCACGUCCGUUGAGAGAAUCAGCCUCAACUAAAUUGGUCCUCUACUGUUAAUGUAGAGUUUACUACAAACUAGAAUUUAUUGGAUACUAUACAUGUAGGUCAAGGUUUAAUUUGUCAACUUCGUAAUCAUAUUGAAAUAUAAAAUGUGUAAACCUUUAUGAAGACAGCAAGGACAGUUAUUUGAACGCAAUCCAACAUUGGCCCAAAAAUCCUUUUAACUAGCAGAGCCUCCACUUGUCCCUCGUUGUCUGACCAACGUGUCCAUCAGCGCAUGUGAGCGGCACCAGUGCUGUAAUGUAUGAAGUUCUUCGGUGCCGUACAGUGUUCUUGUUGAGUAAGUGAAAGUUAAACGUCUGGUCUCUGCAUUGUCAAAGGCGAGUGGCCUUAACAGUCUAAUGCAGAACUCACCAAAACAUUGAGCCAACAGCACAUCAACUAACAUCAUUGCACUAAACCCAACGUGAGAAAGACCAGGGAAGCCAUUACAAGAAUGUUUUUUAUAUUUAGAAGCGGAAUAACAGCAACUGUACACAGAAAUGCUACAUUUGUUUUCCUUCAGCAGAUGAACUCUCCAACUCUGAUGAAAUCUGCAAACAAAUAAAAUAAUCAAUUUUUUACUGUAAAAAAUAAGCCAUCAGCCUGUUGGAAUACUGCAUGCUCACCUGCGUCAAAGUUCUGCUUAUGGACACUUUUAGUUCUCCGGUUCAACACAGCAGAAGACCAUGAAACGGCUCAUUGAACCCAGCUGGAAGCUGUGCACUGAAAAAUUAUGAAAAAACAUUCAGGAUAACAUACCAAUGGCGUAAGUGGACUCAACGGCAGCUCAAGGCCUCAGAUUUGACUGGAAUCUGUUCCUGUGCAGCAAAAAAACAGGAUUAAAGAGUGAAGAGACAACUGAGCAGCAAGCUGAGAACAUCAUCCGUCUGGAAGCACAAGACAGUAAAUGUCGGAGGUUUACCUAUAACCAGGCCAUAAAGAGUCACGGCCGGGCCUCAAACAGCCUCACGUCUCUCUAGCAGACACUACAGGAAAGGACGGAGCCACGGCAGGCUGAGCCUCGCUGGAAAGAUGGAGGUUUCCUGUCCACGUGUCUGAGGUUUUCCUAUAACCCUGCAGCGAGGGGCCACAGCAGGGCCUCAAACAGCCUCACGUCUCUCUAGCAGACACUACAGGAAAGGACAGAGCCACGGCAGGCUGAGCCUCGCUGGAAAGGUCUGCACGCACCCAAUGCACCGUCACCACCAGACUCGUUCCUUCACUGCACGGGGUCCCCUCACUGGACUCCAUCACGCUCAUGACUACAAGAGCGAGGGGCCACAGCAGGGCCUCAAACAGCCUCACGUCUCUCUAGCAGACACUACAGGAAAGGACAGAGCCACGGCAGGCUGAGCCUCGCUGGAAAGGUCUGCACGGACUAACUACGUCACACAGGACGGACCUCACUGGAUGAGGUCCACACAGACCUCACUGGAUGAGGUCCACACAGACUACAUCGCGCGAGGGCUCAUAACCGCAGCGAGUGAGCGCACGUGCUCCGCUCAUGACAGGCAUAAAUAACUUACUGAACGAGUCAAAUAUGACAUUAAAUAAGCUCUAUAGUACAUGUAUAUACAGGUCAGUAAAUUAAUAUAUAAACUAAAUACCAGCUGUGUAAAAACGACAGAGCGCUGUAGAGCGGACAGACGUCACUUUGGUCUUUUAACUGACUGUUUCCUCAACAACAGUUUAAUUUCAUUACAACUUUAAACUUCAAAUAGUUUCACGAUGUCAGAAUCCGAUGGCAUUUAACAUUACGGUUGGAUGGAGACGGAUCUUUUUUUUCGCUUACGUUACCUUUCACGUGGUGCUCCGACUGCUCAACAGACCUAGCUGCCCGGAUGUGACGUCAUUUAUACUAUGCGUGACGUCUCCUUCUUCUUCUUCUUCUUCUUCUUCUUCUUCUUUGGCAUUUAAUGGCAGUUGGAAAACCGCUCGUGGUGCAUUAGCGCCACCCACUAAUCUGGAGUUUGGAUUUACGUUGGAUGUAAAAUAAAAUAAGCACCCAAACAAAA
ensembl:lncRNA